rnacentral:rRNA from 1 species
CCUACGGGGGGCAGCAGUGAGGAAUAUUGGUCAAUGGACGCAAGUCUGAACCAGCCAUGCCGCGUGCAGGAAGACGGCUCUAUGAGUUGUAAACUUCUUUUGUACGAGGGUAAACGCAGAUACGCGUAUCUAUCUGAAAGUAUCCUACGAAUAAGGAUCGGCUAACUCCGUGCCAGCAGCCGCGGUAAUACGGAGGAUUCAAGCGUUAUCCGGAUUUAUUGGGUUUAAAGGGUGCGUAGGCGGUCGUUUAAGUUAGAGGUGAAAUCCCGAGGCUCAACUUCGAAAUUGCCGCUGAUACUGUGCGUCUAGAGAGUAGUAGCGGUAGGCGGAAUGUAUGGUGUAGCGGUGAAAUGCUUAGAGAUCAUACAGAACACCGAUUGCGAAGGCAGCUUACUAAGCUACUACUGACGUUGAGGCACGAAAGCGUGGGGAGCAAACAGGAUUAGAUACCCGAGUAGUC